rnacentral:rRNA from 1 species
AAUCAACGCUGGCGGCGUGCCUCAGACAUGCAAGUCGAACGAUUAAAGCUCUCUUCGGAGAGUGCAUAGAAUGGCGCACGGGUGAGUAACACGUAAGUAAUCUACCUUCGAGUGGGGAAUAACGUCCGGAAACGGACGCUAAUACCGCAUAAUGCAGCGGCAUCGUAAGAUGACAGUUGCUAAAGAUUUAUCGCUUGAAGAGGAGCUUGCGGCAGAUUAGCUAGUUGGUAAGGUAAUGGCUUACCAAGGCUACGAUCUGUAACCGGUCUUAGAGGACGGUCGGUCACACUGACACUGAAUAACGGGUCAGACUCCUACGGGAGGCAGCAGUCGGGAAUUUUGGGCAAUGGGCGAAAGCCUGACCCAGCAACGCCGCGUGAAGGAUGAAGUAUUUCGAUAUGUAAACUUCGUAAGAAUAGGAAGAAUAAAUGACGGUACUAUUUGUAAGGUCCGGCUAACUACGUGCCAGCAGCCGCGGUAAU